rnacentral:rRNA from 1 species
AGGGUUCGAUUAUGGCUCAGGAUGAACGCUAGCUACAGGCUUAACACAUGCAAGUCGAGGGGCAGCAUGAACUUAGCUUGCUAAGUUUGAUGGCGACCGGCGCACGGGUGAGUAACGCGUAUCCAACCUUCCGUUUACUCAGGGAUAGCCUUUCGAAAGAAAGAUUAAUACCUGAUGGUAUCUUAAUGACACAUGUAAUUAAGAUUAAAGAUUUAUCGGUAAACGAUGGGGAUGCGUUCCAUUAGGUAGUAGGCGGGGUAACGGCCCACCUAGCCAACGAUGGAUAGGGGUUCUGAGAGGAAGGUCCCCCACAUUGGAACUGAGACACGGUCCAA